AUUGAACGCUGGCGGCAUGCCUUACACAUGCAAGUCGAACGGCAGCACGGGAGCAAUCCUGGUGGCGAGUGGCGAACGGGUGAGUAAUGUAUCGGAACGUGCCCAGUCGUGGGGGAUAACGUAGCGAAGGCUACGCUAAUACCGCAUACGAUCUAUGGAUGAAAGCGGGGGAUCGCAAGACCUCGCGCGAUUGGAGCGGCCGAUAUCAGAUUAGGUAGUUGGUGGGGUAAAGGCUCACCAAGCCGACGAUCUGUAGCUGGUCUGAGAGGACGAGCAGCCACAAUGGGGCUGAGACACGGCGCAGACUCCUACGGGAGGCAGCAGUGGGGAAUUUUGGACAAUGGGCGCAAGCCUGAUCCAGCAAUGCCGCGUGCAGGAUGAAGGCCUUCGGGUUGUAAACUGCUUUUGUACGGAACGAAACGGCGAGCUCUAAUACAGUUUGCUAAUGACGGUACCGUAAGAAUAAGCACCGGCUAACUACGUGCCAGCCGCCGCCGUAA
rnacentral:rRNA from 1 species